rnacentral:rRNA from 1 species
GACGAACGCUGGCGGCGUGCUUAACACAUGCAAGUCGAACGGAAAGGCCCUGCUUUUGUGGGGUGCUCGAGUGGCGAACGGGUGAGUAACACGUGAGUAACCUGCUCUUGACUUUGGGAUAACUUCAGGUAACUGGGGCUAAUAUCGGAUAGGAGCUCCCGCUGCAUGGUGGGGGUUGGAAAGUUUCGGCGGUUGGGGAUGGACUCGCGGCUUAUCAGCUUGUUGGUGGGGUAGUGGCUUACCAAGGCUUUGACGGGUAGCCGGCCUGUGAGGGUGACCGGCCACAAUGGGACUGAGAUACGGCCCAGACUCCUACGGGAGGCAGCAGUGGGGAAUAUUGCACAAUGGGCGGAAGCCUGAUGCAGCAACGCCGCGUGCGGAAUGACGGCCUUCGGGUUGUAAACCGCUUUCGCCUGUGACGAAGCGUGAGUGACGGUAAUGGGUAAAGAAGCACCGGCUAACUACGUG